rfam:Populus trichocarpa scaffold_8_contig_35, whole genome shotgun sequence.
CGCGAGACAAUUCUCUAUAUGAAACUUUGCAAAAUAACCCUAUAACCUGAAGAGAACGGGUGCUUCCUCAUAAACAGGAGCGCAUCGACAAAGUUCGGACGACUAUUCAACACAGGUCUUCGUAAAAUCGUAAGACUGUGUAUACAGGCUGGCGCAUGCCUAGCAUCGAAAGUUCAAGGAAGUUAGUGAUCUAAGGACAAGGGAGCCAACAAUCGAAGCCCUGGCAAUUGUAACUAGCUAUAAUGGUCCUGAGGUAGCAAAGUUUCUUGUCAGGUAAGUUCCAACCGGCAUGACGAUUUGGACAUAAAUUGUUUUAGAGAGAGGUUCG